AUUGAACGCUGGCGGCAGGCCUAACACAUGCAAGUCGAACGAGUGGCGGACGGGUGAGUACUGUCUGGGAAACUGCCUGAUGGAGGGGGAUAACUACUGGAACCGGUAGCUAAUACCGCAUACCAUCAGAUGUGCCCAGCUGGGAUUAGCUAGUAGGUGGGGUAAAGGCACACCUAGGGGACGCUCCCUAGCUGGUCUGAGAGGAUGACCAUCCACACUGGAACUGAGACACGGUCCAGACUCCUACGGGAGGGAGCAGUGGGGAAGAUUGCACAAUGGGCGCAAGUCUGAUGCAGCUAUGCCGCGUGUAUGAAGAAGGCUUUCGGGUUGUAAAGUACUUUCAGCGGGGAGGCGUUACCCGCAGAAGAAGCACCGGCUAACUCCGUGCCAGCGGCCGCGGUAAUAC
rnacentral:rRNA from 1 species